GGCUGCUUGGCUGUGCCUGGCUUGGCUGGGCUGGGAAUGGGCUGGGCGGAGUGUACCAAGAGCGGGAUCGGUGCCCAUAGUGGACAACGACGAUGCAUGCGGGGAAAUCGUAUGCAUCGCCGCCUCUGGUGUCUGUUCACGCAUUCCUUCCCCUUUUGCAGCUUGGGGGGGGGGGGGUGUGUGUGCUCACAACAUAUCUCCGCCUCCCAGACUCAGAGCAUUCUUCUUCAUUCUUCUGCAUUCUUCUUCUCGAGUGAUGAGUGAAUGGGAGAGCCGGUGGUGGUCGCUACGAGUUGCAGGUGGGUAGAGAGCACUAUACGACGGUAUCGAGCUGUUGCGUCCGGCUGGCUGGCUGGCUGGACGUCGUCGUGUGUGGUCAUGUGGCAAAGCACUGAGGCGAAUGGUCGCAGUGGGUUGCUGGAUGGUUCGGAGCUAGGCCGGGGAAAGAUCCAUCGCGGUUCCUCACCAUGAACGCUUGAUGAUCCUGAAGCUGGUGCCGCUGGGAGUGGGGAAUGGUUGUGGUUGGGCUCGGAGAGUUAAUAUUCCAUGAGCGUGGAUUUGUCGUUGUGGUAGCGGUAGUGCGGGGGACAGCGGCUUUGGAGGAAGCGCAGGAGAAUCAUCAGGUAAAUGUGGCGACGGCAGUGACGGUGUAGGAGGAGGAGGAGAAGAAGAAGCUGCUUUGGGAGCGGGGUUGUUGAGAUGUCGACGUCAUGAGUGUUACAGGGAAGCGAUCCACGAAAGGGAGCGCCAGAUCGAAGUUAGUCGAUAUUAGGACUCAGUAGUGGUCGAGCAGACACUGAUCUGGAUGUAUUUCCCAGUUAAAUUAGGGAACGCAUGUCAUGGUCAAUAGCUUGUCUUGUGUUUGAGGUCAGUACAGGACGAAGCAGCUGAUUGCGGAAGAUGGUUGUAUUUAUAUAUUGGGUUUGAUUUCAAAUCUGGAAUAAAAUCUGUUAUUCAUCAGGAUGACAGUAUCAUCUCUAGUUA